AUAAAGGGAACAUACAGUUCCUGCAUUUUCCCCAGACCUCUUCAUCGUCUUGUAAUUGUCCAGCAGACAGAUGAAGCACAUAGGCUACUCCAUCCUUCCACUCCUACUCCAGUUCAGCAAGUUGUCGAGUCUCUCCCAAUGCACUGCCUGCUCCUGUCAUGCCACAUACUUGUUCUCUGCUUUGAGACAUCUGUACACAUAUAUAAAUCUACCUACACACUAUGGGCUAUGAGGCCUCUGAUUGCCAUAAUUUCUGUUCAUCACCACUUCUUGCUUUUAUUUCCUUUGUAAGACGCAGAGCUUCACAGGACCUCAGGGGAACUGUGCAGGGAACAGAGAAGUCCAUCCUUGCCUGCCUGUGUGUGAGCCAGGAUGAGCUGCAGCCGAGAGCCUGCCCCAGGAGCAGGAUCUUCCCAGAGGCUGCCGCUGAGAGAUGCUGAGGAGAAGCACCAUGUCCAGCUCUUCAAGGCCUGGCCCAUGACUGCAGCUACUAGAGGGCAGGGAAGUGGAUGAGCCAGCCAGCAAGACCAUGUAUGUCCAGUCUACUAAUACUUGUGGAUAAAAUUAAAAGACCAGCUGUGACAAGACAACUAAAGGUACAGCAGAUAUGACACAUGAGCCUGCAAGAUGAAGGCUCUUCUGUGGCUUGUGUGGAUGUGAAGGAGCAAAGGUGAAAGACUAUGCAAGCUCAUCUGCAUGGAAAAUGCAAAAGUACCUGGAAUAUUAGAGGAAUACAGGAACUGGGUAUUUAUUAGGAAGACUGCAACUGGUCCUGAGUAAAAAUGAGGACUGAGACUCCAAACCAAGUGAAGAGAAAUAAUUCUGCAACUGCAGAAUUUUACACCAAACUAUGGAGAAGAACAGAAGGGAGGCAACUCAUUCAAAGACCAACAGAACUAUGAAAAUUACAAAUGCUUUUUAAUUUAUAUUGCAUUUUCUUCAACUGUGUAUGCUCAUCCUUUUAGGUUCAACUUAAGACAUUUGUGCAAGUAAGUUUCUUCCCAGUCAACAUUAACAUUUUGUGGGCAAACACAAAAAUUACUAGAUUUUUAUGUCUCCACACACAUCUGUUUUUGUUCAAUUUAUUCAAGCACUCAUCCUCUCAGAAAGUAAGAACAAUUCUGUUCAGCAAGCAAGAACCACAGAUAGGUCUCAAAUGAAUCAGGAAUGCCUUCAAAAAGCCUCUUUCUGCUGAAAACUGAAACAUCUGCUGAGCAUGUCAGAGGAAGCUGUGUCUGUUGGAUUCCUGACCACAGUGUAUUUAUUCCUUGAGACCCAUGAAGCAGGAUGAAGGUCAGAGGAGAUGGAGAGCAAGGAUACACCUUGAGUGCUGGGACUGGGAAUACAGCCCAAAGCCUGCCCUCAAGGAGGAGACAUGAGAGGCUGAUAAAGAACAGGAAGACAAAUCCUUUCUCCUUAUAUAUCUCCAGACCUGGAAUUUCGACCAGUGAAGAAGGAGAGCAGUAACUCAAUCCAGGAAGACAAAGGCACUAAAGUCUCCUGUGAAGCAUUUACAAGUGUCAGACGGAAAUCAGAACAGCGUUACCAAUGAAAGAGAAAGAUGGCUGAUCUUUUGCAGUUCUUCUGAAAAACCCCUACAGAAUGAGCAGUAGAAGCUUGGCUUUGAAACUGCUAGAUUUAUACAGCAACAUUGAAUUAUAUGCACAUAUAAUUAAUGCAACACAAAUCAAUCUCAUGCACAACAGUAUUGCCUAUGUUCCCCAUUCAAAAUUCUGCAUUCCCCUGUUGUGUUUCAGAGUUUGUAUCCCUGAGCACGAUUCAGACAUUUUCCUUAAUUCUAGAAACUAUCCUACCAGCAACCACUGCUCUUCAGGCUGAGAACAAGGUGGGAUUUUAACCAUCAGCACUGUUUGGCAUCAGCAGUAAAGCUGCGUGAAAUGAACCUUCUGCUCCUACAUGAGAUCUAAAGUGCUGGAGUUGCACACAGAGUUGCUGUGCCCUCCACCCCUAGAGAGAGCCAGCAUUUUUAGAAAGUGACUGCAAUGAAUGGUAUAGAGGGAUUAGUAGAUAUCACACUACUGGAUCACCUUUUCUGAAGCUUCUGGAGCUAAAAAAAAUAAGGAGAGCUGGAGAGGUUCUGGAGAGCUGGUUGAGCAGAACUGAAUUUCCUGCUUUUUCAGUUUGAUUAACAGUGAGAGAAAAUGUAAGGAAACAGGUAUUCUUACAGGGCCAAAAGUUGCCUGACCUUUACCACACAAGCAACUUCAGAAAAAUCCCCAAAACCAAACAAGCUAACAAACAAACAAAGAAACAACAACCAAAACCCAAAAAAACCCUGAAAAAUGCACAGCAAGAACUUAAGACUAUGAUCAAGAUGAAUAAGGGAAAGUGACUUGACACUUUUUACUUAAACUCUUCCAUAUUUUGGCUUCUGACUAUGAAUUAUUUAAAAGGAGUUUGGAAAACAUUAUCACUUAUGGGAAAAUUCUACAUCUCUAAAGAGAUCACAGCUUUGUGAACAGGAUCCUAAUUUAUUAUUCCAAUAUACUAUCUCGGGGUGCCCAGCUACUGAAACAAGAAAAAGCUUUACCCGCUUUUAUUUUUUUCUUCCAAAUAUGAUGCAAUGUGUUUGACUACUCUUCCUUCAGACAGCUCCUGGGAGGGCUUGAGAAGACAGCUCAGGAGGCCUGGAGAACCACAACAGCAGCCUCUGACACAGCAACUGCCAGACAACUGGCAUCUAAAUUCAACAAUAUGUAUAAUCUUACAUCUAAUGGCUGGUUCUCACAAUAGAGACAUCCAGGGAUAGUAACUUGCUGGCAAGCUCACAUUCGAGUGCUGGUACUUAGUCUAGGCAUACCCUGGCAGGAACUGAUAAGCAUAUGUACAUAUAUGUCGCAGAGCCAUUCAGCAGGAUGUGUCUUCAGAGUCAGGGUUUGGGAAGCACUAGUAAAGCUUAUUAUGUUCCAGCUGAAGUUUCUCAGUUUCUGGUGUAAGAAAGCUGUGACCACUGCAGUACUAGUUAUUACAGAAGCACUCUCUUUGGAAAUGAUGAAGAAGAAAUCAAACCAAGAAUUUCUGCAGGUCAAGCACUGGAGAAACAUUACAAACAUUAUUUUUUCAGCAUUUAACUAGUGUUAUUUUCUUUUCUGCUCUCUGCUAGUUACAUGAUGCAACUCUAUUUAUAACAUAGUAGGGACAGUAGGGACUGCUUAAUCAGGACAGUCUAAUAUACAGGCAGUUAUCCAAAGCCACACAUUUUCUAAAUUCUGCAUGGGCAGAGAUGGAGCUUAAGAGCUGUGUAGGGAACAGAGCUGCUAACAAACUUCUAAGGAGGGCUCUGGGGUCUGGGAUGUGCUUAAUAAGAAAAUUCGGAUAUUCAGCAUGAAAAACUCUCCCAAUUUAUCUGCAAUGUAUGUAAAUUACAUUUGUAUUUAAUGCGUAUCACUACGCAGUCCACUUUAGCACUGGGAUAAGGUGGACAGCCUGAGAUUUUUCCCUUUUUUGUUGUUAGUAUGUCUGAAAGUGGUUCAGAAAGGGGAGACUUGGAAAACUUGGUCCAGCAUGCUUUUGGGAAGUACUAUUUUAUAGUCAAAUUCUCCUGUCAGCUUCCACAUCUCCAGCCUACAGCAUCAUGUCUGCAGGCUACAUGUUUAUUUAUUACCAUGUGUUACAUUUGGACAUCAUA